ensembl:lncRNA
GUUACCCAAUGGGUUGAGGGGGGGCACAUGAACGCUGGUUACCCAAUGGGCUGAGAGAGGAGUGGGGGGGGCACAUGAAAGAAGGUAUUAGUGAAAAGUCUUAGCAAAAAUACUGUCAUUCUUUUGGAGAAAAAUACACAAAGGUUGAUCAAAUCUACACAUCAAACUAAUGGCACAUACAUGUACAGGAUCAAAUACAAAUGAAAAAACACAUCAACAUAUCAGCUGAAAUGUUCAAAGAAAAAAAAACUUUUUUUAAAAGGUUGAAAGUGCUAGAAUUCAGAUUAGCUCACAGAAACCCAGAGAGGACAAGACUAAAUACUAAUAACUUUUCAUUUGUUUUAUCAAUAAAUGAAUAAAAAGAUAAAUGCUACAUUUGAAUCCUACAAUUGUGUCUGGAAUUGAACAUAGCCACGGUCUUUUAAAAUGUAUACUUGAUAUAAAAAGGCUAUGACAUAACCUUCUUUUUUUUCUUUUUUACAUUUAUACCAAUAUUUAUAUCCAACUUCCUCUGUAAGAAACAGUCAAACUCUUUCAAAUGUAAGAAUCGCAUGUAUCAUGAUCAAUCAGGACAUGUUCAUAGUUUAGACAAUGUACCAGCCUAGAGGAGGAUUUUCCAGGAACAGACUGGUUAGUGUCAACUUGAACACACCUGCACUUAUUACCUCACAAGCAUUGGUUGGCAGUGGCACUAUUUGUAACAACCAAACAAACAUGAACUUAAAUCCAAAUGAUACAACAUGUAUUUUAAUGAGCAAUUGUGCAAGAUUUAGUUUCCUCUCUCUGGGUUUUGGUAAGAAAAAUUGAAAAAAAAAAAUUAAAAAAUGAGGUGAUGUGUUGUGUUGUUUCGAGGUCCUGUUUUUAACAAACAGAAAAAAAUAUAGCAUAUGACAACAACAAAAUACGACUAAGAAAUAUCCCAUUCAGGCGUCCCAUGCUUUGAAUGUCAAAGAGCAGGCUGGUGACUUGUCUGUUCUGGAUAUUGUCCUUUUUAGAUAGACCCUUUUGUCUUGAAUCUAGGAAGCAGCUGAGUGAGGAGGAGUACAGGAGAGGAAGGGAAACACUUCAAAUCGCUACUACUGAAAUGUUCUAGUGCUCUACAGUUGCUGAGCAACCGUAGCUAAAAGCAGCCGUAUGUUUUAUUUCUUUAUUUUUACAUUUCUACUUGACUUAUACUUGAAACUACGUAUUCACUAAUAGAUGCCUGUGGACUGGGCUCAGUACUCAAACAGACAAAAGUCAAGGGGUUUUGAGACAAGUUGCAAACCAAGAGGAUGAUAUUCAUACCGUAAAGAUUAGUCCUUGUACUCUCCAGGCAGAAUCUAUCUUUUAACGUUGUCCAUCCUACAAACAUAACUCACGGGACACAAAUAAGAGCACCUGUUAUAGUUUUAUAACUUUGGGCUUAAGUUUUCAAAAGGCUAGUGAAUAUGAAGAAAAAAAAGGCAUCUAAAAUCGGGUCGCUUCGUUUACUUAGGGUCAGGUUGGGUUUCAUACUGAGAAAGUAGAGAAUGAAUUGAAACUGGAGAGUCUAUCAAUGUUAUCUAUGUUGACUGCUAUUUCAUUAUUAUUCCACUAACAGCCUACUAAAACAUUUGUCAAAAUCCACAAUCCAAGUUUCUGCUACUAACUCAAGUAGGUAAAGGUAAAGAUCAAGGUAAAGAUCAAGGUAAAGUUCAAGGUAAAGAUCAAGGUAAAGGUAAAGGUAAAGAUCAAGGUAAAGAUCAAGGUAAAGUUCAAGAUCAAGGUAAAGUUCAAGAUCAAGGCAAAGAUCAAGUUAAAGAUCAAGAUCAAGGUAAAGAUCAAGAUCAAGAUCAAGGCAAAGAUCAAGGUAAAUAUCAAGAUCAAGGUAAAGAUCAAGGUAAAUAUCAAGGUAAAGAUCAAGAUCAAGAAUGAAUACAGAGGAGAAAAGCUAAAGGGCAAAGCUAAUAAUUCAUCCUUUUUUGAGCAAUAAAAUGUCAGAUACACACAAAUGUAAACCUGCCAGACAUUAAACAUCAUCACUUUGUACACCUUACUGAGAUAAAAGCAAUAAUAAUAUUCAUUUUUGAUGAGAUAUUUUGUACACUGCAAUAACAUUCUCUUACACCUUUUCCUCAAUGUCGUCGUUGUCAUUUUUGUUUGCUAUUCACAUAUGUCAGGGUGGUUAUUACCAUGCAUCUCUAACAGAGAGAAAAUAUAUUUGUUUUCAUCAACAACAACAAAAAAAUACAUAUCAGUAAUGUGUGGCAUAUUGUUACCAUGGAGACUUCUUAAAACAAAUACUGGAAGGAAGACAGUUGAAGGAAGGAACAUCAUCAUGAGUCAAAUACUGGUAAUGACCUGUUUUCAAGAGCAGCUUUUACAAGUUGGGUUUUUUCCCCAUAUAGGGUCAUCAUCACUGAGAGCUAGCCAAAGGGAUUCUUAAAGGGGAAGAGCCUUCCCCAUAUAAGGUCAUCAUCACUGAGAGCUAGCCAAAGGGAUUCUUAAAGGGGAAGAGCCUUCCCCAUAUAAGGUCAUCAUCACUGAGAGCUAGCCAAAGGGAUUCUUAAAGGGGAAGAGCCUUCCCCAUAUAAG